rnacentral:rRNA from 1 species
AGAGGGGUGCAAGCGUUAAUCGGAAUGACUGGGCGUAAAGGGCGUGUAGGUGGUUGUAUAAGUUAUCUGUGAAAUACCCGGGCUUAACCUGGGGGUGUCAGGUGAUACUGUAGAACUUGAGUACGGGAGAGGGAAGUGGAAUUUCCGGUGUAGCGGUGAAAUGCGUAGAGAUCGGAAGGAACACCAGUGGCGAAGGCGACUUUCUGGCCUGGUACUGACACUGAGGCGCGAAAGCGUGGGUAGCGAACAGGAUUAGAUACCCUGGUAGUCCACGCUGUAAACGAUGAGAACUAGAUGUUGGUUUUCCUACGGGGGAAUGAGUAUCGCAGCUAACGCGUUAAGUUCUCCGCCUGGGGAUUACGGUCGCAAGAUUA